rnacentral:pre_miRNA from 15 species
CCUCUGGACCCCCUUGGCUCCGCUGCGGCCUAUGGCUUUUCAUUCCUAUGUGAUUGAUGUUCCAAACUCAUGUAGGGCUAAAAGCCAUGGGCUACAGUGAGGGGCAAGCUUCUGCAGUGCC